CACUCCUGCGGGAGGCAGCAGUGGGGAAUAUUGGACAAUGGGCGCAAGCCUGAUCCAGCCAUGCCGCGUGAGUGAUGAAGGCCCUAGGGUUGUAAAGCUCUUUCACCGGAGAAGAUAAUGACGGUAUCCGGAGAAGAAGCCCCGGCUAACUUCGUGCCAGCAGCCGCGGUAAUACGAAGGGGGCUAGCGUUGUUCGGAAUUACUGGGCGUAAAGCGCACGUAGGCGGAUCGAUCAGUCAGGGGUGAAAUCCCAGGGCUCAACCCUGGAACUGCCUUUGAUACUGUCGAUCUGGAGUAUGGAAGAGGUGAGUGGAAUUCCGAGUGUAGAGGUGAAAUUCGUAGAUAUUCGGAGGAACACCAGUGGCGAAGGCGGCUCACUGGUCCAUUACUGACGCUGAGGUGCGAAAGCGUGGGGAGCAAACAGGAUUAGAAACCCGAGUAGUCCCAUGA
rnacentral:rRNA from 1 species